UACAGAGGUCUCAAGCGCUGUUCGGAUUCAUUGGGCGUAAAGAGCGUGUAGGCGGCCAGGUAGGUCUGCUGUGAAAACUCGAGGCUCAACCUCGAGACGUCGGCGGAAACCAUCUGGCUAGAGUCCGGAAGAGGAGAGUGGAAUUCCUGGUGUAGCGGUGAAAUGCGCAGAUAUCAGGAAGAACACCCGUGGCGAAGGCGGCUCUCUGGGACGGUACUGACGCUGAGGCGCGAAAGCGUGGGGAGCGAACAGG
rnacentral:rRNA from 1 species